rnacentral:rRNA from 1 species
GAGUUUGAUCCUGGCUCAGGAUGAACGCUAGCGGCAGGCUUAACACAUGCAAGUCGAGGGGUAGAGGAAGCUUGCUUCCUUGAGACCGGCGCACGGGUGCGUAACGCGUAUGCAAUCUACCUUGUACAGGGGGAUAGCCCAGAGAAAUUUGGAUUAAUACCCCAUAGUGUUAUGAUGUGGCAUCACAUUAUAACUAAAGUUCCAACGGUACAAGAUGAGCAUGCGUCCCAUUAGCUAGUUGGUGUGGUAACGGCAUACCAAGGCAACGAUGGGGUAGGGGUCCUGAGAGGGAGAUCCCCCACACUGGUACUGAGACACGGACCAGACUCCUACGGGAGGCAGCAGUGAGGAAUAUUGGUCAAUGGGCGCAAGCCUGAACCAGCCAUGCCGCGUGCAGGAUGACGGUCCUAUGGAUUGUAAACUGCUUUUGUACAGGAAGAAACACUCCCUCGUGAGGGAGCUUGACGGUACUGUAAGAAUAAGGAUCGGCUAACUCCGUGCCAGCC